rnacentral:pre_miRNA from 1 species
UCUUAUGCAUGAGCAAAGGAAAUGGUUUCUUGAGAUGGAAUCUACUCCUGGUGAAGAUGCUGUGAA